rnacentral:rRNA from 1 species
UGAUCCUGGCUCAGGAUGAACGCUAGCGGCAGGCUUAACACAUGCAAGUCGAGGGGUAUAGUUCUUCGGAAUUAGAGACCGGCGCACGGGUGCGUAACGCGUAUGCAAUCUACCUUUUACAGAGGGAUAGCCCAGAGAAAUUUGGAUUAAUACCUCAUAGUAUUAUGAAAUGGCAUCAUUUUAUAAUUAAAGUCACAACGGUAAAAGAUGAGCAUGCGUCCCAUUAGCUAGUUGGUAAGGUAACGGCUUACCAAGGCUACGAUGGGUAGGGGUCCUGAGAGGGAGAUCCCCCACACUGGUACUGAGACACGGACCAGACUCCUACGGGAGGCAGCAGUGAGGAAUAUUGGACAAUGGGCGCAAGCCUGAUCCAGCCAUGCCGCGUGCAGGAUGACGGUCCUAUGGAUUGUAAACUGCUUUUAUACGAGAAGAAACACUACUUCGUGAAGUAGCUUGACGGUAUCGUAAGAAUAAGGA